rnacentral:lncRNA from 1 species
CCUCCCAUCCGUGGUGACCAGAGAGGUCACUCAUGUCCUAAAGUGCAGCCCAGCAUCAGGUCCCAAAUGUGACCCUGCUGUGGCCACCACAUCCCCAGCUGGCAGCUCUGUCCCUGGUGUCCCCACCGUCCCCUUGGGUGACCCAAGUCCCUCUUGUGGAUGGGGACAGAGGUGGGGCCGGCAUGGUGAAUGCUUUCACCCUAGAAAUAGAAGUCAGUGUUUGCCUAUGGCGUCUGUCAUGAUGUCCCAACUUCCUGAGUAGCCAGCGGGGAGGGUGUGUGGUCACCCCAAGUUCUGUGCAUUUCAGAAGUCACUGGGUGUCUGGACCUGAGGCCAUGCCACUUCGGGGGAGAUGGGGUUCAGUUAUCUUUGCCAUGAGAUGGGUAGCGUCCAGUCUCAGAAAUGACAGGGUCCAGCCAUUGCCUAAUGGCUGCUGAGGGAGACGUGUCACUUCCUGUGACAUUGUGACAUUGUUUCCAAGGAAGGGGAAGGAGGUGGCUCAAACCUCCAUCUUCCCAGAACUGUCCCCUGCCCCCGGGGACAUUGGAGUGUCCUUCCCAGGGGACUCUCAGCUCCCCAAAGGAGCAAGUUUUGGAAAGAAAAUUCAAAUCUGACAAGAUGGGCUUGGGUCAAGGCAGCCUCAGGAGUGGCAAGUGGAAGACAGCUCAGGCUCAUGUCCCCUUCCCUGCGUGUGGCCAUGAGCCACCUGCUCCUGCCCUGGGCCACCUCGGUGACCAUCCUCCUGCUGGCGGCCGACGCAGUGGCUUCUGGGGACCUCGGUGACGGUGACGGAAAAUCCCACCAGCCAUCCACAUCUUCGUCGGGACCCAGGAAAUUCAAGUGACAUCAACCUGGACCUGGUAACGCAUGAUGGCAUCCACCAUGAUGAACGAGACCACAUUUCCUUCCGUAAUGAACAUUGGGGGGUCGUCUUUACGUUUAUAAAAACCCAUCCAUGUGGGAUUUGUCAACAGUGUUUUCUUUCUGGUUCUCACAUAGUCUAAUUAAUUUAUUAUUUGAUUAAUAAAAAGAAUUAAUUGCUUGGCUAUAAAGAAAUU